AUGAACGCUGGCGGCGUGCCUAAUCCAUGCAAGUCGAGCGAACGGACGAGAAGCUUGCUUCUCUGAUGUUAGCGGCGGACGGGUGAGUAACACGUGGAUAACCUACCUAUAAGACUGGGAUAACUUCGGGAAACCGGAGCUAAUACCGGAUAAUAUUUUGAACCGCAUGGUUCAAAAGUGAAAGACGGUAUUGCUGUCACUUAUAGAUGGAUCCGCGCUGCAUUAGCUAGUUGGUAAGGUAACGGCUUACCAAGGCAACGAUGCAUAGCCGACCUGAGAGGGUGAUCGGCCACACUGGAACUGAGACACGGUCCAGACUCCUACGGGAGGCAGCAGUAGGGAAUCUUCCGCAAUGGGCGAAAGCCUGACGGAGCAACGCCGCGUGAGUGAUGAAGGUCUUCGGAUCGUAAAACUCUGUUAUUAGGGAAGAACAUAUGUGUAAGUAACUGUGCACAUCUUGACGGUACCUAAUCAGAAAGCCACGGCUAACUACGUG
rnacentral:rRNA from 1 species